rnacentral:lncRNA from 1 species
AAUGCAUAAUCGCUCUGUGGCUUCCUUAAGACUACUGCCAUGGGAAGAUAUACAGUAAUGGUCCUGAUUUUCUUACUCUGUUUUGCUGUUCACAGCUGCAGCGCUGGUAGAAAAUUGUGUCACGGUUAUUUAAUGCUAUGCGAUGACUACGGCCGAUGCCCACAAAACUGCACAUGCAAAGAUUAUGGUGGGGGGCAAUCGGACCCUGAAAGAUUCUGUGAAGGCAAUAAGUGAUGAAAGUAUUCGUGGUGAAAUUAUAGUCAAAUAAACAAUCAAGAGGAAUUAUUUGGUGACUG